UGGAACAGGCCUGCUCUGACCUGCAGGCUCUACUCUACCCUACCGUCCUGGAGGCUCCCAACUUCUCCUGGAGGGGCUUGUUUCUCUGUGUUUUGAGCAACUGCUGCUUCUACCUGAUCAUUGUAGGAACUGCCUAUUGAAAAAGCGCACAGUCAGACAGAGAGAGAUGGAUAAAAAAUGUAUUACCAUAUUACCAUUCCAUCACAGACUGAAUUAGAAACUUGUAGCAUUUGUUACUCACCUCCUCCCAAAGGAGACCUAAAGCAGAUUACAUCAUUGUCUUCUGUUUAUGUGUACAACAGGAUCUGUAAUUGCAAGGCCCGACCGCUAUCUUCCAUGUAUGCACUGAACUUUAAUCUUUAGUAAUAAAACUUACAUUAA